rnacentral:sRNA from 1 species
CAGCUCCCAUCGUUCCAACCUUUCUGGAGAAGCCGUGGCCUGAUGUGCCCCCAGGACUCUCCUGGGCUGCGGGUAGGCCCUUUGAUCCCUGAACAGGAUUAUGAGCGGCUGGAGGACUGUGACCCUGAGGGGUCCCAAGACUCACCCAUCCACGGGGAGGAGCAGCAACCCCUGCUUCAUGUCCCUGAAGGGCUCCGAGGCUCCUGGCAUCACAUCCAGAACCUGGACAGCUUCUUCACCAAGAUCUACAGCUACCACCAGCGGAAUGGCUUUGCCUGCAUCUUGCUGGAGGAUGUCUUCCAGCUGGGACAAUUUAUUUUCAUUGUCACCUUCACAACCUUCCUCCUUCGAUGCGUGGAUUACAAUGUUCUCUUUGCCAACCAACCAAGUAACCAUACCAGACCUGGGUCGUUCCACAGCAAAGUGACCCUGUCAGAUGCCAUCCUACCCUCAGCCCAGUGUGCUGAGAGGAUCUGCUCCAGCCCGCUGCUGGUCCUCCUCCUGGUCCUGGCUGCCGGCUUCUGGCUGGUCCAACUGCUUCGCUCAGUCUGCAACCUCUUCAGCUACUGGGACAUCCAGGUGUUUUACAGGGAGGCCCUGCACAUCCCCCCGGUCUUUCAUUCCGGAAGAGCAGUGCCAGGGUCGUGCGCCGCAGCUCCUGCUGCAGACAGCCCUGGCCCACAUGCACUACCUCCCGGAGGAGCCCGGCCCCGGCGGCAGGGACCGCGCCUACCGGCAGAUGGCGCAGCUGCUGCAGUACCGAGCGGUCUCCCUCCUGGAGGAGCUCCUGUCCCCGCUCCUCACCCCGCUGUUUCUACUUUUCUGGUUCCGCCCUCGUGCCCUGGAGAUUAUCGACUUUUUUCAUCACUUCACUGUGGAUGUGGCUGGGGUUGGGGACAUCUGUUCCUUUGCCCUUAUGGAUGUGAAGCGCCACGGACACCCUCAGUGGCUCUCGGCGGGACAGACUGAGGCCUCGCUGUCUCAGCGUGCGGAGGACGGCAAGACUGAGCUUUCUUUGAUGCGGUUCUCCCUGGCGCAUCCACUCUGGCGCCCCCCAGGGCACAGCUCUAAGUUUCUUGGGCACCUCUGGGGCCGAGUACAACAAGAUGCAGCUGCCUGGGGUGCCACCUCGGCUCGCGGCCCCUCCACCCCGGGGGUGCUCAGCAACUGCACCUCGCCCCUGCCUGAGGCCUUCCUGGCCAACCUCUUCGUGCACCCUCUCCUGCCUCCGAGAGAUACAGCCCCCUGUCCAGCUGCGGCCACAGCCAGCCUCCUUGCCUCCAUUUCCCGAAUUGCCCAGGACCCCAGCUCUGUGUCCCCAGGAGGCACUGGGGGCCAGAAGCUGGCCCAGCUCCCAGAACUUGCUUCUGCCGAGAUGAGUCUCCAUGUCAUCUACCUGCACCAGCUUCACCAGCAGCAGCAGCAGCAGGAGCCGUGGGGUGAGGCUGCAGCCUCCAUCCUGUCCAGGCCCUGCUCCAGCCCCUCACAGCCACCCUCGCCUGAUGAGGAGAAGCCAUCCUGGUCAAGUGACGGCUCCAGUCCUGCUUCUAGCCCCAGACAACAGUGGGGAACCCAGAAGACCCGGAAUCUGUUCCCCGGAGGGUUUCAGGUGACCACAGACACCCAGAAGGAGCCUGACCGGGCCUCUUGCACUGACUGAGACGACUCCUCAGGGUACCCUGGCUUCGGCAGCCACAGGAGAUUGGAGGGUGGAGUAGAAAAACACAAGGAGUCAUUGUUAGAGGCCCCAUAGAUGACAGGCCCAGGUGCUUUAGUUGGGCAGGACCUGGGAGUCAGUGAGGAACUCGCCCCGAGAACAGAGAAAAGGUAGGAAAGGAGAGGAGAUGCUGAUGGCAUCUGGAAACAAGUCUUAGAGAUGGUCUCCACCCAGAGGGAAUAAGGGGAGACAUCCCCAACUGGAAUGUGUCCUGGAGCAGCUGCCUGGGAAGAAGUCCUCGAGUUUCCUCAAGGUGGGGGACAGAGGUCAAGGAUGAGGCCGAGCUAAAUGGAAGGGUGACAGUGAGGCAGGCCCCACUCCUGGCAGCUGAGUGCUGCACCUGCCUUCUUGAUCACGAGCCUGAGAACUGCACGGGGGAGCAGCCCAGACUGGCUGGAAACCAUGUUUUCAGAGUGCAGGGUCAAGCGGCGUGUAGGACUCUGUCAAAAGAAUGACCCCUUUCCCCACCACAUACCCACAACUGCACAGCCUCUGGACAGAUGUGAGAAGGCACCACCUCAAGAGGGGAGGAGCGGGCCUGAUCCUGGUCGGGCGGACCUAAGUCGGGCAGCCGCUCUCCCGGAACUGGAAGGGAAAGCCAGGCGGCUCUCAGGGGCUGUUGGUGUCUGAGCCGGGAGGGUCGAACGCCCAGGGCACUGCGCCCCGCAACUGACGCUCCUGCAAGGAAAAGCUCUGGCACGCCGAUGACGUCGCCGGCCUCGUCCAGCUCCAUGUCGCCCUCCGUCGCCAGGAUGCGCUGCACGGUCUGCAGGACGUUGGUUGCCAUGGUGACAUCGCCGCAGACAAACAUGUGGCCCCGCUCGAGGCACAGCACGCGGUGCACCUCCGCAGCCAGCUCCGUCCUCAGGAUGUCCUGCACGUUACCAUUGCGCCCUCAGAGUCUCACACCUUGGGGUUGUCAGGUUCCCGGGAGAAGGCGGUGAGGACUCGGCCAAACACCCCGCGCUGCUGGGCGUUCUGCACCUCGUCGCGGUAGAGAUGGUCAAGUUGGGAGCAUCGGCAGCCGAACACCAAAGUCAUGGGAGUGGGC